CCGUUCCAAUACUUUGUUGCUAAGGGGCUGUGUUGACUUCGGUUAACACGAACCGACCCACAUUGUUGCGGAAAGCUAUAGGGGGACGCAGGAAGGUAGAUGAACCCGGUGAAUGGUAGAACCGGGGUAAGCGUGUAGGAGGAGGACCAGGCAAAUCCGGGCCUCAUAUACUCUGAGACGUGAUACCGAGCCGCUUCAGGCGAAGUCAUUAAUCCUAUGCUGCCUAGAAAAGCCCAGUAGCGAGUUGACAUGGUGCCCGUACCCCAAACCAACACAGGUGGACAGGUAGAGCAUACCAAGGCGAGUGGGAUAACUAUGGUUAAGGAACUCGGCAAAUUUCCUCCGUAACUUCGGGAUAAGGAGGACCCCAGUAGCGUGACGAGACUUGCUCUCCGAGCGUGAGGGGGUGGCACGAAAUUGAGGGAAGCGACUGUUUACCAAAAACACAGCAGCGUGCUAAGCCGUAAGGCGCUGUAUACGCUGUGACUCCCGCCCGGUGCUGGAAGGUUACGGGGAUGGGUUAGUCCUUUGGGACGAAGCUCUGAACCUAAGCCCCAGUAAACGGCGGCCGUAACUAUAACGGUCCUAAGGUAGCGAAAUUCCUUGUCGGGUAAGUUCCGACCUGCACGAAUGGAGUAACGACUUCCCUACUGUCUCAACCAUAGACCCAGCGAAAUUGAAGUACGAGUAAAGAUGCUCGUUAGCUGCAGAAGGACGGAAAGACCCCGUGGACCUUUACUAUAACUUGAUGUUGUGUUUUGUCAUAUGUUGUGUAGGAUAGGUGGGAGACAAGGAAGCAUGGACGCUAGUCUGUGUGGAGUCAUCGUUGAAAUACCACCCUGCAUAUGGUGAGGCUCUAACCUAGACCCGUUAUCCGGGUUGGGGACAGCGUCAGGCGGGUAGUUUAACUGGGGCGGUUGCCUCCUAAAGAGUAACGGAGGCGCCCAAAGGUUCCCUCAGCCUGGUUGGCAAUCAGGCGUCGAGUGCAAUGGCAAAAGGGAGCUUGACUGCGAGACCUACAAGUCGAGCAGGAGCGAAAGCUGGGCAUAGUGAUCCGGCGGUUGCGUGUGGAAGCGCCGUCGCUCAACGGAUAAAAGGUACCCCGGGGAUAACAGGCUAAUCUUGCCCAAGCGUCCAUAGCGACGGCAAGGUUUGGCACCUCGAUGUCGGCUCAUCGCAUCCUGGGGCUGAAGCAGGUCCCAAGGGUUGGGCUGUUCGCCCAUUAAAGCGGUACGCGAGCUGGGUUCAGAACGUCGUGAGACAGUUCGGUUCCUAUCCUCUGUAGCCGUAGGUGAAUUGAGGAAAGCUGUCCCUAGUACGAGAGGACCGGGACGGACGCAGCUCUCGUGUGCCAGUUGUCCUACCAAGGGCAUGGCUGGUUAGCGACCUGCGGAAAGGAUAACCGCUGAAAACAUCUAAGCGGGAAGCCUCUUCCAAGAUGAAUUCACCCACAGGGUUAACCUGGUAAGGCCCGUGGUAGACCACCACGUUGAUAGGCCGGAAGUGUAAGCGUGGCAACACGUUCAGCUGACUGGUACUAAUCGGCCGAGGGCUUGAAUCG
rnacentral:rRNA from 1 species